CUACGUAGGUGGCAAGCGUUGUCCGGAUUUAUUGGGCGUAAAGCGAGCGCAGGCGGUUUCUUAAGUCUGAUGUGAAAGCCCCCGGCUCAACCGGGGAGGGUCAUUGGAAACUGGGAGACUUGAGUGCAGAAGAGGAGAGUGGAAUUCCCUGUGUAGCGGUGAAAUGCGUAGACAUAUGGAGGAACACCAGUGGCGAAGGCGACUCCCGGGGCUGUAACGGAGGCUGAGGCUCGAAGGCGUGGGGAGCAAACAGGAUUAGAUACACUGGUGGUCCACGCCGUAAACGAUGAGUGCUAAGUGUUGGAGGGUUUCCGCCCGUCAGUGCUGCAGCUAACGCAUUAAGCACUCCGCCUGGGGAGUAAGACCGCAAAGUGGAAACUUAAAGGAAUUGACGGGG
rnacentral:rRNA from 1 species